UAAGUUAAGGAUAAAAUACUGUAAUCCUAUGAUAUAACAGGCUGCUUUUUUUUCAUGGGGGGUUGGAGGAGGGGAUACAUUAUAGCUACAGGUAUAAUCAGAUGCUAUUUUCGUUUAAAAUCACCUAAUACAGUACACCUUUAUAUUAAGUCAAGGUAAAACACUAUUAUCCUAUGUAUAAAAGGCUGCUUUUUUUCUUUUUUAGGGGGGUUGGAGGAGGGGAAGGUGUUGCUCAAGGUUAAAUCAGAUUUUCAUUUCAAAAUUGUAUAAUGCAGUAAAUUUUCAUAUUAAGUUAAGGAUAAACACUGCAAUUCCAUGAUAUGGCAGGCUUUUUUAUCCUUUGUAGAGGGGUUGGAAGAGGGGAUACAUGAAGCUAAAGGUUAAAUCAGAUUUUAUUUCUUUUUAAAAACAUGUAAUACAGUACACCUUUACAUUAGGUCAAGGUAAAACACUGUAAUCCCACAAUAUAACAGGCUGGUUUUUUUUCUUUUUUAAGGGGGUAGGAGGAGGGGAAGGUGUUGCUCAAGGUUAAAUCAGAUGUGUUUUUUUUUUCAUUUCAAAAUUGUGUAAUACAGUGAGUACACCUCUACAUUAAGUCAAGGUAAAACACAGCAAUCCCAUGAUAUAACAGGCUGCUUUGUUUUCUUUUUUAGGGGGGUGGUUACGUAGGGAGGGGGUUGCGCUCAAGGUUAAAUUAGAUGUGUUUUUUUUUUAUUUUAUUAAAAUUGUGUAAUACAGUUCACCUCUACAUUAAGCCAAGGUAAAACACAGCAAUCCCAUGAUAUAACAGGCUGCUUUGUUUUCUUUUUUAGGGGGGUGGUUACGUAGGGAGGGGGGUUGCGCUCAAAGUUAAAUUAGAUGUGGUUUUUUUUUUAUUUUAAUAAAAUUGUGUAAUACAGUACACCUCUACAUUAAGUCAAGGUAAAACACAGCAAUCCCAUUAUAUAACAGGCUGCUUUUU
rnacentral:lncRNA from 1 species